CGCCCGUGGGUGUCAUUCAACCUUCCUGAAGGCGUCGCCGCCACCUGCGCUAAACCCCAGGGCAGGGCAGUUUCAACCCAAGGCAGGCUGCGACGAGCGGCGCAAGAAGACCAUGCCAGCGGUACACAGGUAUGCCGAACCCGACGAACAAAUCUCAUGAAAUGUUGAACACGCCAAAGAUAUCUCAUCAGACGCCGCCUACAGAGAUGUUGGUUCCGUUGUUUGCACAUGUAUCCUGAUGCCCGCUUUCUCGCCGUGGCUGUCAAGUACCACCUCGUGAAGGAGUGGAGAAGACAACGUCCUCUGGUCCUCCUCCAGGCCGGCCGACAACUUGUCAGUUUGUUGCUCUUCCCUUACAAGGUACGGCAUCCCCUUCCUGUGUGCUCAUGCAAACAUACAGUUCUUGAUGUGGUUGAUGAAAGUAGUCUAAGAUUUGGCUAUUUCUCUUUGAAAAUUGAUUAUAUUAGUUCAAUUACGUAAAUAUCUUCCUUGACAAGGUCAGAUUACUUUCCCCACUCUGUGAUUUGGAUUGAUUUCUUGAAUUUAUCCAAACACCUUUGCUUGUGCUCCUAAUUUCCCAUCACUCUUUUUGUCACGCCAUGGUCUAAACAAUGGUGCCUUCACCCUUGCUUGUGCCUCAACCCACAUGGUCAUCUUUGAGACGUGGUAUUCAGUCACAUGACAGAGUUCUCUUUGUAAGUGAUUAGAUGAUUUGAAACUCGCUCACUUGAUGCAUGUUUGAUUUUUGAACUUGAUAUUAGUGACCCACACGAUCUUUAUCAUUCUGGAAGCUGCAUAAUAGUACGUACUUCGCUUCCUUUUGGUUGUGUACAUUGCAUUUGUUGAGAAAGUGUUCCUUGUACCAUGUAAGUAGGGACAAUUACUAUUUAACUAGGUACAAUUAAUAUUUAACAAGCCACAACUGAUCAAGCAGUCAAUGCUUAAAUAUGCCCGUACUCUGUCGUAUCCAGGAUGGAGCUUUGCUAGCUUUUGAGUUGGAUUCUCUUUCGACUGCACCUAAAUAUGACGAAGCCGACAGUAAAUGAGCUCAUUUUAAAAAACUGCAGUUUAAAGGAAAUUAUUACAAUAUAUAUAUAUAUAUCAAUUCCAACAUUGCUAUCUGAAGGAUGAUUUAAGGACUAUUUGUCUCUGAUGGCUUUCCCUGUUUGGCUCCCUUUUCUGUGAGUUGACUCUACAGUUCUAGGAUCUUCUCUGUAACCAUAAAUUGGCAGCUUAGAAAAAGUAUAUAUAUACUUGCUAGACCUUCUCAUUACACUCUUUCACUUUUUUGGCCUAAUACUAUCCUGUAUAGACCUAAUAACAGAAGACAUGGGAAAUGCUUUCGUGACAUAAUGUUUUUUUGGUAGAUGCUCUGUUUAUUUAGUGUCGUUGAUCCAAAAACUUGAAAGUGUAGAAAUGUUCAUGCAUGGGACUAUAGAACCAAGUAUUUCUCGAUCUGGUGAUGCUUUAUUCAGAGUUCUUGUGCAUCAGAUUGGAGUGUUACCACAAACCUGUUAUUUAUUUCACUUCAUGUGAGUUAAUGCCAAGGCCUUUUUUGUGUCCCCUCUAAUCAUUGCAUUUGUAUCUUGAUCAUUGUAUUAACGAAAAGCUAAAUAUUUCUCAUGUUUUGUUCAGUGUGUCUACUUCUCUUCUCUAUUAUAUUAACUAUUUUUGGAUGAUAUUUCACAAGAAUGACAUUGUUAGAUUUAGAUUCGUUAGGUUUCAAUGCAUUUGAACAUGACAGUUAUAUGCCUAUGCCUCUGUGCAAGUUUUACCCAAUGGUACAUCAGUAUUUCACUAUGAACGACUUCACUGAUUGUUAGGAAUAUUUCUUAUUUCACACUGAAGCGUUUAUCAGUAUGUUGGAAGAACAUCAUAGCCAAUCAGAGAAUACAUGUGCUAGAUGUGCUAUAAUUACUCAUAUGUUGGCUGUUGAUAUAUGAGCUUUGAUGAACCUAGCUUCAGGAGAGUCAUUCUAUGCAUUCCAAUCCAAAAAUAACUUCAGAAAACUGAUUUUCAUUUCUGAACAUUAUUCCGUUAUCGUGGAUUUUUCCACUCUGUUUCAUGUGUCAUUAACAUUUUUAGUUUGUUAUUUCAUUACUAACUCCACAUAGACAGAUAGACUGGUAGAUAGUCACUCAGACUGUUUGAUCCUCCUAAUCACAUCAUAUCCGUCUCUACCUGCAGCUUUGGACAAAAACAUUUAUGCUCAACACAGCUGGUUCCCCCAAGUUCAGCAGUGACCGUAUGAUACACAGUACGCAAAAGAUAUAUGGGAUAUCAUCCCCGUCAUCAUGCUCUGAAUAAUUUAACAGUUUACAGAAACCUUGAGUCUGUGAGGCGCAAUCGGUCACAGAUUUGCCUCUACUCUUCAUUGGGAAGGUGUUGCUGCCCCCAGCUUUGUAUAGGAACAUGCAAGUUCUGACAUGGACAUGAGAGCUGAGAGCAUGCAGGUUCGUCCCUCACUCUCUGAUGGUUAUAUUAAAUCAAACCAAGUUGUGUCAAGCAUCUCUUUGAACAGGGAACAUUUUUUUGGUAGAAAUUCCAAAUGAACUUGAUCAGAGAGCAACAUCAGGAGUUUAUGUUUGGAACUAUUGAAAUUAUUUUGCCUUCUCUACUGAUGGCUCAAAGAACAUGAAGAAUACGAGAUAUAAUAGAUAGAGCAAUGCAUCUUAUCACCAAAAGAUUACAGAGGACAGUUAAUUCAAGUCAAUUCAUCAUCUUGCACUACAUUUUGGCAUGGUGAUGUUACCAGACGGUGUUCUUCCAUGCUAACUAUAAUGCACGCACAUUUUGUAGCGACAGAGCUAGGACAUACUAUGAAUCUAUGAUAGAUGCGGAAAUGUGUUCUUCUAUAAGCAUGUGCUUGUAACAUGGAAAGCAUACUAAUAAUUCCAUCAUGUUUCCUUCUCUCUCGCUCUUCUUUUCAAAUCCCAUUAUAUGAAUAAUAACAUGAAAAGAAUGGGCGUUUCCAGAGCUUGGCCUAAUUUAAUAUGUUCUUAUGGUACUACAAAAAUGCUAAUAUGUUACUACAAUGUAUUUUCCAAAAAUCUCAUUGUUCAUUUACUGAAUAAUACUAAUUGCUAUCAUUUUAUUUUUCAGGAUACAUCUAAGUAUUUCUAAUGUGAUAUGUUUCAUUCCAGGGUGAUACGUAUGAAGGAAAAGAGCCAGAGCAGCGCUUGGAUAAAAGUCAGUGUUGGAAUUUGUUUGGCAGAUGCGGAAAUCUUGGUAAAGGUAAGUUCAGUCUUUCACUCGCUCACCAUGUUUUUUUGGUCUGCAUUAUUUUUCUAAUCUACAUUUCAGGAGUGGCUAUAGUCAAUGCUUUCAUGUACAUGAUCGGUAUGAACUUCUCAUCAUAGGUUCAUCUCCUGAGAGAGCUAAGUUUCAUGUAGUAAUCUAUAAGGAAAGCUUGGACAUAUCUCUUUUCACACGCGAUCUUAUUUACUUGAAAGAUAAGUUAUACACUCUGGGUAAUAAUUUGAUGAGUAGGCCAUUUCAAUAAUUCUAUUUGUUUCAGGCAUUGGUAGAUUGUGGUACAACUGAAGAGUUUCUUAUGCUAAUACUUGCAGAUCUCGACACACCCGGAACAAUGAGCACAUGUUACCAGCCACAUUCCACACAGGAUGUGUUCUUUUCAAAACAAAGAUACCCUGAUGCAUGACAAAGUUGUAGCGUUAAUCUCAAAAAAUUAUGCUUCUGUAGUAUGCAAUAUACACUAUAAACCUAAGAGUGGGUAGCUUCAGCUUGCUUCUGUAUUAUGCUUUCUCAUUGAUAACCUAGCCCAUGCUUGAUUAUAGUACACAUUAUUCCUGUUGAAAGCUACUCUCUCUGUCCCAAAAUUCUUGUCUUAGAUUUGUCUAAAUACGGAUGUAUCAAGUCACAUUUUAGGUUCAUCUGUAUCUAGAAAAAUCUAAGACAAGAAUUUUGGGACGGAGGGAGUAUAUUAAAUCCUAACUUUUGACUCUUCUGAUAAUGAAGUGAAGGUGCAGAACCGCAUCUUCCAUUGACUCAAAAAAUACAUUUAAAUAUUAUGAUUUUUAUAAUGUUCUGAAUGUAUUUUUCUCAGGAUAAGGACGCACACGGCGGCGAGGUUAGUAGGGGCGUAACAAACAAGAAGGGCGGGCGUGGCAAUGGCCAUUCAUGUGUCAGAUGAAAAUAGUACACCCACAUGUGUGUCUGGACUUGACAUAUGCAUCAGCGAGCAUGGUGAUGAGGUGAGAGUUGGAAGCGUGGAUGUACUUGACAAGGACCAAGUAGAUGCGAGCAAGCAUGGUGGGCAAUGUCGACGAUGGUCACGUCGAUGAGAAGACCGAAGAGGAAGGCUUAAAUGUAAUUAGCCAGUGUCUUUGGACAGGUUGUCGACAGAUAAAAGUUCUAUAGUUUGGCUUGAGGAGUAACAUAGACAGGCAUGCUGGUGCUAUAAGGCUAUAUCUCUCUUCGUGGACAAGAGCACAUAAUGCUUCAAGUUUCAUGGAAGUUUUUUAAAUUCUAUUAUGAGGCUCAAUCUGAAAUAAAAUCGGGUCUUGCUUUACCCAACUCUUGAUGCGUACCCCCCCCCCCCCUUGAAACCCUGGUGUGGUCUUCGAUGUAGAUUACCAGUUGAUAAGUUUGGAUAAGAGAGGGGGAGAUAGUGGAUAGACGAGGAACAACAGGAAAAGAGUUUUAACGG
rnacentral:lncRNA from 1 species